GGGAUGGAGCCAUGGCUCAGUGGGAGAGCAUCUGCUUAGCCUGCAGAAGGUCCUCAGAUCAAUAUCUAGCCAUUCCA
rnacentral:tRNA from 1 species